UUUUUCUUUGGCUCGACUCCUAUACAAUUGGUCGAAAUAAAAAAAAAACUGGUGCCGUUGUAUGGGGGCUGGACGAUAUCGUGGACCUAUACAGACAAUUCUCUUUCCGGGGCUAAUUACUCACAAAGAACUCUUUGUGUAGAAUUUCAAACAAUUAAAUUGAAUAAUGUGGAUAAAAAAAUCAAUAACCAGUAAAGAAAGUCCUAAAGUCGGGCGGGGCCGAUUUUAUGAUACCCUACACCAAUUUGCUAAUUUAGUUGA